GUUAAGCGACUAAGCGUACACGGUGGAUGCCCUGGCAGUCAGAGGCGAUGAAGGACGUGCUAAUCUGCGAUAAGCGUCGGUGAGGUGAUAUGAACCGUUAUAACCGGCGAUUUCCGAAUGGGGAAACCCAGUGUGUUUCGACACACUAUCAUUAACUGAAUCCAUAGGUUAAUGAGGCGAACCGGGGGAACUGAAACAUCUAAGUACCCCGAGGAAAAGAAAUCAACCGAGAUUCCCCCAGUAGCGGCGAGCGAACGGGGAGGAGCCCAGAGCCUGAAUCAGUGUGUGUGUUAGUGGAAGCGUCUGGAAAGGCGCGCGAUACAGGGUGACAGCCCCGUACACAAAAAUGCACAUAUUGUGAGCUCGAUGAGUAGGGCGGGACACGUGGUAUCCUGUCUGAAUAUGGGGGGACCAUCCUCCAAGGCUAAAUACUCCUGACUGACCGAUAGUGAACCAGUACCGUGAGGGAAAGGCGAAAAGAACCCCGGCGAGGGGAGUGAAAAAGAACCUGAAACCGUGUACGUACAAGCAGUGGGAGCCUCUUUAUGGGGUGACUGCGUACCUUUUGUAUAAUGGGUCAGCGACUUAUAUUCUGUAGCAAGGUUAACCGAAUAGGGGAGCCGAAGGGAAACCGAGUCUUAACUGGGCGUUAAGUUGCAGGGUAUAGACCCGAAACCCGGUGAUCUAGCCAUGGGCAGGUUGAAGGUUGGGUAACACUAACUGGAGGACCGAACCGACUAAUGUUGAAAAAUUAGCGGAUGACUUGUGGCUGGGGGUGAAAGGCCAAUCAAACCGGGAGAUAGCUGGUUCUCCCCGAAAGCUAUUUAGGUAGCGCCUCGUGAAUUCAUCUCCGGGGGUAGAGCACUGUUUCGGCAAGGGGGUCAUCCCGACUUACCAACCCGAUGCAAACUGCGAAUACCGGAGAAUGUUAUCACGGGAGACACACGGCGGGUGCUAACGUCCGUCGUGAAGAGGGAAACAACCCAGACCGCCAGCUAAGGUCCCAAAGUCAUGGUUAAGUGGGAAACGAUGUGGGAAGGCCCAGACAGCCAGGAUGUUGGCUUAGAAGCAGCCAUCAUUUAAAGAAAGCGUAAUAGCUCACUGGUCGAGUCGGCCUGCGCGGAAGAUGUAACGGGGCUAAACCAUGCACCGAAGCUGCGGCAGCGACACUAUGUGUUGUUGGGUAGGGGAGCGUUCUGUAAGCCUGUGAAGGUGGCCUGUGAGGGUUGCUGGAGGUAUCAGAAGUGCGAAUGCUGACAUAAGUAACGAUAAAGCGGGUGAAAAGCCCGCUCGCCGGAAGACCAAGGGUUCCUGUCCAACGUUAAUCGGGGCAGGGUGAGUCGACCCCUAAGGCGAGGCCGAAAGGCGUAGUCGAUGGGAAACAGGUUAAUAUUCCUGUACUUGGUGUUACUGCGAAGGGGGGACGGAGAAGGCUAUGUUGGCCGGGCGACGGUUGUCCCGGUUUAAGCGUGUAGGCUGGUUUUCCAGGCAAAUCCGGAAAACCAAGGCUGAGGCGUGAUGACGAGGCACUACGGUGCUGAAGCGACAAAUGCCCUGCUUCCAGGAAAAGCCUCUAAGCAUCAGGUAACAUCAAAUCGUACCCCAAACCGACACAGGUGGUCAGGUAGAGAAUACCAAGGCGCUUGAGAGAACUCGGGUGAAGGAACUAGGCAAAAUGGUGCCGUAACUUCGGGAGAAGGCACGCUGAUAUGUAGGUGAAGCGACUUGCUCGUGGAGCUGAAAUCAGUCGAAGAUACCAGCUGGCUGCAACUGUUUAUUAAAAACACAGCACUGUGCAAACACGAAAGUGGACGUAUACGGUGUGACGCCUGCCCGGUGCCGGAAGGUUAAUUGAUGGGGUUAGCGGUAACGCGAAGCUCUUGAUCGAAGCCCCGGUAAACGGCGGCCGUAACUAUAACGGUCCUAAGGUAGCGAAAUUCCUUGUCGGGUAAGUUCCGACCUG
rnacentral:rRNA from 1 species